rnacentral:rRNA from 1 species
GACGAACGCUGGCGGCGUGCCUAAUACAUGCCAGUUGAGCGAUGAAGAUUGGUGCUUGCACCAAUUUGAAGAGCAGCGAACGGGUGAGUAACGCGUGGGGAAUCUGCCUUUGAGCGGGGGACAACAUUUGGAAACGAAUGCUAAUACCGCAUAACAACUUUAAACAUAAGUUUUAAGUUUGAAAGAUGCAAUUGCAUCACUCAAAGAUGAUCCCGCGUUGUAUUAGCUAGUUGGUGAGGUAAAGGCUCACCAAGGCGAUGAUACAUAGCCGACCUGAGAGGGUGAUCGGCCACAUUGGGACUGAGACACGGCCCAAACUCCUACGGGAGGCAGCAGUAGGGAAUCUUCGGCAAUGGACGAAAGUCUGACCGAGCAACGCCGCGUGAGUGAAGAAGGGUGUCGGAUCGUAAAACUCUGUUGGUAGAGAAGAACGUUGGUGAGAGUGGAAAGCUCAUCAAGUGACGGUAACUACCCAGAAAGGGACGGCUAACUACGUG